UGAGGAAUAUUGGACAAUGGGUGAGAGCCUGAUCCAGCCAUCCCGCGUGAAGGAUGACGGUCCUAUGGAUUGUAAACUUCUUUUGUACAGGGAUAAACCUACUCUCGUGAGGGUAGCUGAAGGUACUGUACGAAUAAGCACCGGCUAACUCCGUGCCAGCAGCCGCGGUAAUACGGAGGGUGCAAGCGUUAUCCGGAUUUAUUGGGUUUAAAGGGUCCGUAGGCGGACUUGUAAGUCAGUGGUGAAAUCUCAUAGCUUAACUAUGAAACUGCCAUUGAUACUGCAGGUCGUGAGUAAAUUUGAAGUGGCUGGAAUAAGUAGUGUAGCGGUGAAAUGCAUAGAUAUUACUUAGAACACCAAUUGCGAAGGCAGGUCACUAAGAUUUAACUGACGCUGAUGGACGAAAGCGUGGGGAGCGAACA
rnacentral:rRNA from 1 species